rfam:Gossypium arboreum cultivar AKA8401 contig_95_1, whole genome shotgun sequence.
AACUCAUGAUGAGGACAUCUUCUUAGAAGAUCCUUAAAUCUCUUCUAUGCAUCAUAUAAUGUCUCCAACUCGAUUUGAGCAAAAGAAGAGAUGUCGUUCCUCAACUU